rnacentral:rRNA from 1 species
GAGAGGGUGAUCGGCCACAUUGGGACUGAGACACGGCCCAAACUCCUACGGGAGGCAGCAGUGGGGAAUAUUGGGCAAUGGAGGAAACUCUGACCCAGCAACGCCGCGUGGAGGAAGAAGGUUUUCGGAUCGUAAACUCCUGUCCUUGGAGACGAGUAGAAGACGGUAUCCAAGGAGGAAGCCCCGGCUAACUACGUGCCAGCAGCCGCGGUAAUACGUAGGGGGCAAGCGUUGUCCGGAAUAAUUGGGCGUAAAGGGCGCGUAGGCGGCUCGGUAAGUCUGGAGUGAAAGUCCUGCUUUUAAGGUGGGAAUUGCUUUGGAUACUGUCGGGCUUGAGUGCAGGAGAGGUUAGUGGAAUUCCCAGUGUAGCGGUGAAAUGCGUAGAGAUUGGGAGGAACACCAGUGGCGAAGGCGACUAACUGGACUGUAACUGACGCUGAGGCGCGAAAGUGUGGGGAGCAAACAGGAUUAGAUACCCUGGUAGUCCACACCGUAAACGAUGAAUAAUAGGUGUAGGGGGUAUCGACCCCUUCUGUGCC